GAUGAACGCUGGCGGCGUGCCUAAUACAUGCAAGUCGAGCGAACGGACGAGAAGCUUGCUUCUCUGAUGUUAGCGGCGGACGGGUGAGUAACACGUGGAUAACCUACCUAUAAGACUGGGAUAACCUCGGGAAACCGGAGCUAAUACCGGAUAAUAUUUUGAACCGCAUGGUUCAAAAGUGAAAGACGGUCUUGCUGUCACUUAUAGCUGGAUCCGGGCUGCAUUAGAUAGUUGGUAAGGUAACGGCUUACCAAGGCAACGAUGCAUAGCCGACCUGAGAGGCUGAUAGGCCACACGGGAACUGAGACAGGGACCAGACUCCUACGGGAGGCAGCAGUAGGGAAUCUUCGGCAAUGGGCGAAAGCCUGACGGAGCAACGCCGAGUGAGUGAUGAAAGCCUUCGGUUCGUAAAACUCGGUUAUUAGGGAAGAACAGAUGUGUAAGUAACUGUGCAGAUCUUGACGGUACCUAAUCAGAAAGCCACGGCUAACUACGUG
rnacentral:rRNA from 1 species